GUUACAGGUGUGUCUGCGUGGAGGACUUCUCAAGCUCCAGGGCUGGAUGCUUGGCCCCAACCCAACUCCCAUGGCAGGGGUCCUCCAAAAGGAAAGACCCAAGUUUUUGCCGCCAAAAAGUCUCAUGACUCAGAUGAAUUCCUGAGACAAACACAGAAGGAAGCACCCGGAGGACAAGUGAUGGACCAAAAGGCUGUGCAGAAGGAGGAGGAACACUCAGGGAGAAGCAGUGGCUCAUUGGCAGCCCCUGCUGCAGGAAGGAAGGCGAUGCCAGACAUGGGCACAGGCACAG